GUCCCAGAUAAAUGCAGUCAAGAUGACUCAGACAGCCUCCCAGGGAAUUUUUACUGUGGGGACUUCCAAUUAAUAAAUCCACUAUUAGCUUGUGGAUUCAGCAGGAUUAGGCUGAAUCUUUCCAGAUCGCUGGUUGAAUUUCUUGAUUUGGGGGGGCGGGGGUUGCUAUUUACACAGAAGUAGUCUGUUUUUUUUGUUUUUUUUUUUCCCUUCCUUGUAGAAAGAAGAACACAUCUGUUUAACUUUCAGGCCACUGGCUCAGCACUGUUGGGGCAGGGGAAGGAGUCACUUGAUUGACCAUAAAUACAAUUCCUGCUAAGUCUUCUCUGCUGAUUCUGGGGGCAACUGUGUGAGGGAGAGCUGUGGGGACCCAGGCAGAAGGAAUCAGUGCUAGAGGUGUUCGUGGAGCGCUCCCGGAGGAGGCGCGGCCGGCUCAGCCGCCUGCAGCCCCGCGGCCCCGCGGCCCCCCAGGGCGGGCGGGGAGCGAGCGCGUGUGUGCUGCGGGCGGGCUGCGGGGCGCGGGCGGUGGCGGGAGGCGCAGGCGCGCUGCUCGCGGGUCCGCAGCCCCGCGCCGAGCGCCCCGCGUCUCGGGGAGUUGAUGGCAGCACCACUGUGCGGCCGCCCGGCCGAGAGCGGAGCGCAGCCAGCCGCCGCCGCCGCCGCUACCCCGCGAGCGCCCAGGAUGUGGGGGGACUGGGGCGGCAGCGGCCGCAACAGCUCCGGGGACGGGGGCGCGCAGCAGCCUCGGUUCGCCCGCCUGUGCUGACCUGCCCUCGCUUGCCCCCAAAGAAUGUCAGCCAAGUCCAAGGGGACCCCCGCCUCGUCCUCUCCAGCCGAGGGACCGCCGGCAGCCUCCAAAACCAAGGUGAAGGAACAGAUCAAGAUCAUCGUGGAGGACCUGGAGUUGGUCCUGGGCGACCUGAAAGACGUGGCCAAGGAACUUAAGGAGGUGGUUGACCAGAUCGAUACCUUGACCUCUGACCUGCAGUUGGAGGAUGAGAUGACUGACAGCUCCAAAACGGACACUUUCAACAGCAGUUCCAGCGGCACCACAGCCUCCAGCAUCGAGAAGAUCAAAGAGCAGGCCAAGGCUCCCCUCAUUAAGCCCCCCGCACACCCAUCUGCCAUCCUCACGGUCCUGAGAAAGCCGAACCCCCCACCACCUCCGCCACGGUUGACACCUGUCAAGUGUGAAGACUCCCAGCAGACUGCUGUGCCAGCCAUCAACCCGGUCAAAACCAAUGGCACCCUCCUGCGAAACGGAGGUUUGCAGAAAGCACCGAACAAAAUCCCCAAUGGGGACAUCUGCUGCAUCCCCACUAAUAACUUGGACAAGAUGCCAGUGCCGCCUCUGAUACAUAGACCUGAAAAGGACAGGUGUCCGCAGGCGGGACCCAGGGAACGGGUCCGGUUUAAUGAGAAAGUGCAGUACCAUGGCUACUGCCCGGACUGUGACACCCGCUAUCACAUCAAACACAGGGAGGUGCACUUGCACAGCGACCCUGUCCACCCCCUGGCCAAGCUUCCUCACCCAGGCCCGCCUCUCCCACCUCCGCCCCAUCUCCCGCCUUUCCCCCUGGAAAAUGGGGGGCUGGGAAUAAGCCACAGUAACAGCUUUCCCCCUCUCAGACCUGCAGCUGUGCCUCCUCCCACUGCACCAAAACCACAGAAGACCAUCUUGAGGAAGUCCACCACCACAACAGUGUGAUGUAUGCCUUUUUUGAACAAACAUUUUGUUACUUUUUUUUUCUUUUUAGUUUCUAUAUUAUAAACAUUAAAAAAAUUAAGUAAUGAGCACUUUCUCCUCAAGCAAUAAAAUGCCCAAAUAUAUUAUUCCUGCAUUCAGCAAAGUGACAUACCAAACACCUGCUCCUUCAGUCUGGAAAGAAUAUCUUUAUUUGGAGGCAUGUCUGCUCAUUUUUCUCACUUCAGAUUCAACCUUAUGACUUCUUGAGGCCAGAUCUAAUUUGAAGUAUCCAGAAAUCCACUCAACUCAGAGCAACAAAUCCCUCAAUAUUGGAGCACAAAUGAUCAUAGGAUCUGCAUAAAACCUUCUGCCUCUAGACUGACAACUAUGAGCAGAGCCCUGUGGGCAAAAGAAAAAAAAAAGCCACAGCCUUAAAUCUCUCCACUUGGAAAUUACCAAGAAGAUCAAAUAAAUAAAUAAAUAGAAAAUGAAAUGAAUAUGAAAAAUACUAAAAGAUACAACAAAGAAGUGAAACCAAACAAAACCUAUUUUAUUUCACCCUGGAAAUAAAUAUACUCAAAUUUGAACCCAAGCUAGCUUAUAUUUUGCAAUUAAGUUAGUAAAUUAUCAAUCAACUUAUCAUUUGGGAAGGUGAAAUUCUCUCUAGACAGAAUUAUGUAAAGAAACAAAAGAACAGGCAAGAAAGCACUGCAACAAUGAGCAGCAUUAGGACAGAAUAUCAGUGUUUGUAGAAAGAGGACAUUUGUCACCUUGUGUCCACCCUCAAAGCCAUAAUGGAAAGACAACAUCGGUGUUGAUUGCCUGGAAUGCUUCUCCAUUCAGCCUUUUGUCCCAUAUUGGUUGAAAGAUGGGGAAGGUCAGGUCUUACUGAUGAUUGCUCAAUGCACUUCUGAUAUUUGCACUGUCAAUUCCAUUCAGGGUAAUGAUAUGUGCUGUAAUUUGCACAGAUGGUCCCAUGCAUUUUGAGACCACAAGUAGUUUCCUGCAGGCAUCCAAAAAAAAAAAGAGGCAACAGUUAAGAAUCCUCCAGACACUGAUUUCUCUUUCAUCUUUUGACAUGCUAUCUCAUUAAAUUGACUCAUCUCUGAUUAAAAACAAAAUCAAGAUAAUAAUGAAAAAAGCAUCAGUGUGGUCAAAUAAAUGAAAAAAAGGGGUCAAGUUUUUUUUUUUAAUGAAGAGCAUUUUAUAUCAUAAACAGUUGAGAAGUCAAAUAUAAUGAACUAUACACUAAAUGUCUGUGUUGAACAUCUAUAUGUUCUCCUGAUUUAAAAAAUCAUUUGUAAUUUGUAUUUGACAUAUAACAAUUUUUAUAGCCAUUUAUCUAUGCUUCAUGAGAAAAUGUACUAGACAAACAAACAGCAUUUUCAGUUUAUUUUUCUAAAUAAAUGUGUUGUUUGUAUUAUU